GCCUGGGUGGCUCAGUCGGUUGGGUGCCCGACUUCGGCUCCGGUCAUGAUCUCACAGCUCGUGGGUUCGAGCCCCGCGUCGGGCU
rnacentral:tRNA from 1 species